rnacentral:lncRNA from 1 species
CAUUCAGAGGUAUUGGGGGUUACAGCUUCAACAUAUGAAUUUGAGGGGAAGGGGACAUAACUCAUUCUAUAAGAAUCAUAUAAAAUCAUCAGAAAAUAAAAGUACAUUUUACUUCAAAGUUUAAAUGAAUACUGAUCAAAAUAUCAAAUAUGAUAAGUGAGUGAAUCAUCCAAAUAAGAUCUAAAACAAUCAUGUUCAGUCCACUUAAAUCUAAUAAAAUUAGUGCAAAUUCAGUGAGUUGACCUUACAAAAAUAAAAAGCCAAUUAUUUCACCAGGAAAAUUAGUUUACAUGGGAAUAGCAGAUGAAUUGCAAUUUGUGACACUCAAAUUAUAACCAACCAUGGGCAGGUCUGAGAAGACAAUGCGAAGUUCAGCUUUUUUAGGUUUUCAGAGGAAAUCAGAGGGUUCUGGUAGUGAUUCAUUGGCUGCAAGCAGUGGGCAGCUUGAUGGCUCAGAAGGAAAUCUUUCUGCUGGAUUCAGUAAGCUGUGGCAAGUGAAACAUGUGUGAGGGCUACUCACCUCCAUUUUACAUGGUUUCCUGUAUUUUCACAAGUGUCAUAGUACUACUUCUGGGCAUGGGGAGAGCAGGCAGAUACACUCAAAUCCAUCAGCUUGUUACUGCUGUCUUGGUGAGUAAAAGCCCAGACUGCCCCUGCACACCACGCAUGCAUAUUGGAACAGAACGUCUCCUCCUAGAGCCAUGUUCUGAAGUUACCAUGGGCUGGCUCUAAUUUAUCUUUGUCUUUUACCACCAGGGCAUUUUCCUGUCUUUUGUAUUUGGCUCUAUAUUUAAAAUUUGCAUAUGUUAUAUUUUUUCUAGUGUGUUCUAUGUGUUUUUAGCAAGAUAUAAGUUAUAUGCACCAGCUGUCUUCCAUAGUUUCUUAAGUCUGAUUUCUCUUUCUCCUGCAGGUUGUUUAGUAUGUUUUGUUUAUGUUCUAUGAUCAACUUGAAUAGUAUUCAGGGACAAAAACAGACAUCUCAUGUCAUAAUUUACUCCUUUUAUUUUACAGUUACUUUUCAUAUGUUAUUCAAUAUACAGGUUGCCUUUGAAUUAAAGAAAUUACUCGGGGAAGUCAAAAAAAUACCAUCUAAUUAAUUAAAACUACAAUUAGUUUUUUUUUUCCUCAAACUGAAAACCUGGUCUUGAAUCUAGAAAUAAAUUCUACUUAUUAAAGAAAAAUAUGAUGAAAAAAAUAUUUGUUCCUGGUACAAAGAGUGUGCUACUCAUAUUACAGAAGGAAGGAAAGUUAAAAUGAAAUUAAACUAUUUCCCAAAUGUAUGUUAUCAAAGAAAAAAUAUACUUAAAGCCAAUCUAUAACACUUCAUUAAAUUUUAGUAACUGGAAUGGAAAUAUAUGAAUCAAUGGAAAGAUGACUACUCAUCCAAUAGUUUUUAUUCUGAAAAUGCCAAGUUGUUAAUGAGUAAAGUGAACAGGAAAAAGACAAGUAAGAAGACAUUUAAACAAUGAGCAGAAUUCCAAAUUUCCAAGCUUUCCCACAGAUGGCUUUAAUUUAAAAGAUACCUUCAUGUAAAUGAUAAGUCAGAUGACAUUGAAUAAAAAAGCUACUUUAAAGUAUAUGAAUAUGUAUGCAAUUAUCCAUAUUGAAAUAAGUAGAACCAAUCACAAUUUUAUAAUUUGAAGUAUCCUUCCAGGAAAUGCUUGUGUCCUGAUGAUGGUGAUUUGUUUUUUAAAUGAAAAUUAAAAUUGUGCUUGUGCUAGAUAGACAUUUAUAUGGUACAAACUUUAGUGUUUCAAAGCUAUUUCUAUUGAGUAUAUUUGGUACAUUUUUACUUUUGACUUAAUACAAAAAAUAUAAAUUAUUCAUGCUAUACAGAGAUAGGUAAUUGAUCUCAUAAGAUUCUGUAAGCAGAGUGUCAUUUCUGAUGAAAGGUAGAAACUUUGGAGUUUUCACCUGCCAUCAGCUAACUGACAGCCUUACCCCAAUCUAAAACCAAGGUAUUGAAUUCCAAUUUGUUCUUCAUGGCUAGUUUUACAUUAGCCUUAACAUGAAGUAAAUUGCUCUAAUAUGGAUAAUAUGAGGAAAAUUACAUGUAACCGAAGUUACAAACAACGUGGUCAUUAAGGAUAUGUAAGUUUCGGGAGAAACCCUACUCAGGGUACAAACAAAGAGUUAAAUAGAUUCAAUAACACAUGAUUAAGUUACUUAAAAAUGAGAGUAAAUAGCCUAAAAAAGUUUGGAGAGGGUAGAUAUGGCUACAGAUGUUAACAACAUUUACUGUGUUAUGUAUUUGGAAGAAUGGAAGGACCCAAACCACACUAAGAAAGGGUUGUAUUCAUAUUUUGUGUUUUCCCAAACACUUUUAUUUUUAACCAAGUAGUAUUAAUAAUACCAAUUAAAACAAAUGCUAAAAUAAUAUAUUACUGAACUUUAAUCCUUUGCCAAAAAGUGUCCAAGGACAUUGUUAAUCUUCCCAUACUCUCAGCAGGCUUGCAUGGGAGAAAGUCUUACUGCUCCCAUUUCACAAAAGAGGAUGCUAAGAUAAAGGCAGGUUAGCAAACUUGCCCAGGGUCACAAAGCAUGUCAGUGGGAAAGACAGGGUGAGUCCACAUAGAAUGUUCUGGUACUGAUGCCCUCAACCACUAUCCUAGGCAAUCUUUAUAAUACAAGUGUGAGUGCACCCACUCACUCCCUCAUAAAAUGACUAUAAAAAGAUCACGCCUAAUAUAAUGUACAGUGUGAUGCAUAAGAGAUACUCAAUAAUUAAAAACACAGGAUAUUAUACAAGAGGUAUUGGAUAAUUAAAAGCUAUCAUUUUCCUGAAAAAAAAAAUCAUUAUUUUAAAAGUAUAGAUAGUUCUACUUACCAAAUAAUACUGCUGUAUAUGUUCUGCAGAUAAUAAAAGUUAAAAAUUAUAAAAAUAAAUGCAACACGCAAUGUACAGUUUGAAUAAUUAAAACGACUUAUUGCAAUAGUUUUUUUUUUCUGAAGUUAGAGUAUAUGUUGAGUUUCAUCCUUUUUAGACAAAAUAGAUUUUUUACAUUAUAAUUUGGACUAGAUUUAUAAAAGUUUUUCAACUAUACAGGCAACAUUUCUGUUUUCAUUAGAAAAGGUAUUCCUUUUCUUUUUCUUUUGAUUUACUAACCAGAAUUAAAACUGCAUUUUUUUCUAUUUUAUGCAGCUCUAGCAAACAAUAUUGAAAAACUGUCUUCAGGAAAUGAUUAUCCUUUAAAAUAUAAUGUUUGAAAGGAUAUGUGUAAAUUCAUAUACAUAUACAUGAAAAAUGUGCUUGUGUGAG